UGGGCAAACCCACCGCCCCGUUAACUCUUUACUUGUCAGAGCGAGCAGCGAGACGACGCCAGAGGACGCCUCCCCUUUCUCUUUCCCCCUUUCUCAUUUCCACAAGUAUCCUCCUACCUCUGCCGGACGCUGUGCCCCUGAACUUGAAACACUAAUGUGGGUUCUGUCACGGACGAGACUCGGGGGUGGACCCAAAUGCACGACUCAGGUGAGAGAUAAAGCUGUUUGACAGCUUGGAGAACUGGACCCGGAGGCUCCGGUACCCCAGCCCUGAAGGCAGGAGUUUGAAGAGGGUCUGUGAAGAAGGAUUGUGAGAGGUGUGCUGUGUCACCAGACAUGCUGAUGGCUCGUUGGGUGAAGCAGAAUCUUCUGGCAGGAGGAAGUGGAGCUUCUGGACCACAUAGCAAAGCCAUGGUAGAAGGACCAUGACGCGGGCCGCGUCAGACUUAUUCUUCAAUUUGAAGAGGAAGUAGAACCAAGUCUGAGCCUUCUUGGCUGGCCAGCGACAUGGUGGUGUCAUUCCAGGAGACGGCCUCUCAGGAAUGAAGCCCAGGAAUUGAAAUCAUCCUCGCCACAAGAGUGCCAUUGAUGGUGUGUAGUUGUUACUGCGAACGACUUCUCCUGAAGUUUCCAACCAUCUCUUUUGUCUCCCCCACAUUUAGGAAAAUGUUGCUUUUGCAACACACUACGAGCUGGCUCACCUUUUUCCUGUAGUUGGCCUCUUAAUCAAGUCAUGAGGCCCACAACUGCUGCGUCGCCCUCAACUUUGAUCACGUGAAUGGUGUUGUAGGUCGGACACAGUCGUGGGUAAACAGUGUAAAGAGCAGUAGGUUGAGUAUGCACCUUUUUGGCAUCUCUGUGCUCACCAUAAUGGACCUUUUGAUCGUCGUAUUAAAAUCCCAAUACAACAUCAGAUGCAUCAAGAGAUUAUUCUUUUUUUUACCCAUGUGAGAACAGUUGCAUAACCAACAUGAAUAAGAAAAUGUAUCACUUAUCACAAGGCUAAUGUCUUAAACCACAUCACAGUCUUAUCAUAUUUGGUUUCACAUCCCUGAUCAGACACGUGGUUUAUAAAGAGCACAGAAUAAAACAAUCAGUGAUGGUUUGUCCCUUCAAGAGAACUAUCUUGUAUCUAGUAUUCAGGCGAUUGAGAGCUACAACUGACUGCACUUUGACUAACCAUUAUUUUCAUUUGCAACAACUGGGAUUGAUUUACUAAAAUUAGUCCAUUAAAUGUUGGGAAUGCAGUAAUAUAUUUUGACAAUGCCACAGACGUUACAUAUUCAAAUGUCAUGUCAUGAGAAAGAAAGUGAAGCCAUUAUUAUAAGACAACAUUUAACAAGAAAGUUUAAAGGAUAAAGACAACCUAUUUUUAAGUGGCAAAAAAUACAUUUUAGAAGGUCAUUUUCAUUGAAUUUGACAGAUUUUUACCCCCUUGAUUUUAUAUGGGCAGCAUGGUGGAUGACUGGUUAGCACAUCUGCCUUUUGAGGACUGGGGUUCAAACCCUGGCCUCGCUUGUGUAGCAUGGGCAUGUUCUAACCGUGCCUGCACGGGUUUUCUCCAGGUACUCCGAUUUCCUCCCACAUCCCAAAAACAUAAAAACAUAAAAUUGGCCGUAGAUGUGAACGUGAGUGCGAAUGGUUGUUUGUUUCUAUGUACCCUGCUACUGGCUGGCAACCAGUUCAAGGUGUCCCCCGCCACUCGCCGAAGUUAUCUGGGAUAGGCCUCGGCACACACGAGGAUUUUAUAUGAUGAAAUGUCUCUCAUGAUCAACCAGCCAGGCCUAGAGUUGAAUUUUCAAAAACGUAUGGAUGAUUUAAAAUGCUAACUGAUCCUUAUGUGGUGGAGCAUUGAAAGAUAUUUCUUUUCAUCAUGGUAAAGACAAAACUGCAUAAAAGUAAAUUCAUAAACAGAAUCAUUAAAAUCAUGUUACACAGUUUAAACAUGCUUCUAACACUACAGAUUCACGCGUAUAAAUGUUUGUAACUACUCAUUAAACUAAUUACACACUUGUAUUUAUCAAAUUGUAAUAAAGAUAAUAAUGUAAAACUUCUGAAACUUUGAUAAUUUAACACAUAUUCACUCAUAUCUCAGAAAUAACAUUGUUUAUUGUCCUGCCCUUGCGUGAAUUCAAAAUGGCUCCCUAAUCGUGGCUCUUUAGUCACAUGUACUUGUGGUGUAUUGCAACAACAUAAUGAGCCUCUCUUCAUUGGGAUUAACGGUAAAGACAGUUAAGUGACAAAGAAGGACCAUUUGCAAAAUAAGGAGGAAUAAAAAUGCUUACAUCUAUUAGUGUUACUUUUUUUCAUUAAUGGAAAAGGUACAUUAAUCAAGACGAGAAAAUCCCUAUAGAUCAAAAAAUUUUAUUAGGAUCUUCAGAUAAUACAUUGCAAAUCAAGAAACUUCCUUCUUUUCAGACAUCAAACAGUAAAGACAUUUUGGGAUUGGAAGUUUUACUUUAUAAUGUUUUUUUGUUUUUUUUUUACAAAAAAAUGACCUUUUGGUGUUUGACAACUGCCAGUAUUUCAAAUACUAAUCAGUAAAAUUAAUUGAUUUUGAAACACUAUUCACUGGGUCAUGUCUUGAUCAUUAUUGAUCAAAUUAUAUAAAAAUGAUACCUUUACAGGGUUGACAAUAACAUACACUAUAAGAACCGUAUUCCCAAAAAUCAAAUAAUGCUCAUUUUUGAUCGAUUAGCGAGUAAUCAUUGCACCACUGAAUAUAUUUUCAACAAUAUCAAGUAUAAUCUGUACAUACAGUUGUAAGACAUAAAUUGCACAAUUUGUGCAUUUUAUUUUGAAGAACUCUCCUUUUAUACAUACAGGCCUCUCAGUCUUUCAGAUGGUCAAUAAAAGGUGGAAACCAAAGAAACUGUUCUCGGUCUUGCGCGUCAUGACACGGUUACACAGUGUUUGUGUAUCUGUCGCUACGUAUGAGUCACUGAA